UACGAAGGGGGCUAGCGUUGCUCGGAAUCAUUGGGCGUAAAGCGCGCGUAGGCGGCCCCGUAAGUCCGCUGUGAAAGUCAAAGGCUCAACCUUUGAAAGCCGGUGGAAACUGUGGGGCUAGAGUCCGGAAGAGGCGAGUGGAAUUCCUGGUGUAGCGGUGGAAUGCGCAGAUAUCAGGAGGAACGACCAGUGGCGAAGGCGACUUACUGGACUGUAACUGACGCUGAGGCACGAAAGCGUGGGGAGCGAACAGG
rnacentral:rRNA from 1 species